UGNAAGUCGAGCGGAUGAGAAGAGCUUGCUCUUCGAUUCAGCGGCGGACGGGUGAGUAAUGCCUAGGAAUCUGCCUGGUAGUGGGGGACAACGUUUCGAAAGGAACGCUAAUACCGCAUACGUCCUACGGGAGAAAGCGGGGGACCUUCGGGCCUUGCGCUAUCAGAUGAGCCUAGGUCGGAUUAGCUAGUUGGUGGGGUAAUGGCUCACCAAGGCGACGAUCCGUAACUGGUCUGAGAGGAUGAUCGGUCACACUGGAACUGAGACACGGUCCAGACUCCUACGGGAGGCAGCAGUGGGGAAUAUUGGACAAUGGGCGAAAGCCUGAUCCAGCCAUGCCGCGUGUGUGAAGAAGGUCUUCGGAUUGUAAAGCACUUUAAGUUGGGAGGAAGGGCAGUAAGCUAAUACCUUGCUGUUUUGACGUUACCGACAGAAUAAGCACCGGCUAACUCUGUGCCAGCAGCCGCGGUAAUACAGAGGGUGCAAGCGUUAAUCGGAAUUACUGGGCGUAAAGCGCGCGUAGGUGGUUUGUUAAGUUGGAUGUGAAAGCCCCGGGCUCAACCUGGGAACUGCAUCCAAAACUGGCAAGCUAGAGUACGGUAGAGGGUGGUGGAAUUUCCUGUGUAGCGGUGAAAUGCGUAGAUAUAGGAAGGAACACCAGUGGCGAANGCGACCACCUGGACUGAUACUGACACUGANGUGCGAAAGCGUGGAGAGCAAACAGGAUUAGAUACCCUGGUAGUCCACGCCGUAAACGAUGUCAACUAGCCGUUGGAAUCCUUGANAUUUUAGUGGCNCANCUAACGCAUUAAGUUNACCGNCUGGGGAGUA
rnacentral:rRNA from 1 species